AGAUCUGGCGUGGAGCAUUGUUUCUAGCAGAUUACAUUCUAUGGAAGCAAGAUCUUUUCAGAGGCUCUACAGUGCUAGAAUUUGGAGCAGGGACUGGUUUUACCAGCGUUGUUAUGGCGACCGUUGCAAAAAGAGUUUAUAGUACAGGUAAUUCAUGCUUAAAUUAUGUUCUAUUCUGCAUUAUGCUAUUAAUGAUUAUUUUAGUCAAGAAAGCAUUUGUUAGCAAAUUGUUUUUAAUUCUUUAUUUUUGAAGUGUUGAGAAACACAUAAAUGUUGGUAUUGACAUUUGAGUAAAACAAGAUAUAUAGACAGGCUUGGUUAAAUAGUAUAAAAGAUAACACAAGAUAUGCCCGACAA